rnacentral:piRNA from 1 species
UGAUAAACUUCCCAGUUGUUUAGUUGUGU